AGGGUCUGUCGGCAGUGGACUUCGGAUGGCGUUGGGGAGGUUCGUCCGCUGGAGGAGUCUGGAGGAUCCUGUGGAAGUCUGGCUGAUGCUAUUGAAGGUUGAUGGCUGGGGAGGUAUGACAGACAUCGGAGGUGGCCGGCCGUUGUAGAAAUCCAGCUGCUGGAGCCCGUCUGUUGUAGAAGUUCAUCCGAAAUCUAUCCACUAUGGGAGUUCAGACGGAGUCUGGUUCUUGUAGAAGUUCGGAUGGGGACC
rnacentral:lncRNA from 1 species